CGUCACAGUGCUUAGACUACCUGGUGUUGCUCUCUCUGGCCAAAUUCCGACUGGCAUUUUCGGGAACUUGACUCAGCUGCGCACCCUCAGUCUACGUCUUAACUCGUUAACUGGACCACUCCCUUCGGAUCUUGCUCUCUGUCAAAACCUCCGAAACCUUUACUUGCAGGGAAACCAUUUUUCGGGUGAGAUACCGGAAUUCCUGUUUGGUCUUCAUGAUUUAGUGAGGCUAAGUCUUUCUGGGAACAACUUUUCUGGGGAAGUCUCUGUUGGGUUCAACAAUUUGACGAGGUUGAGAACUUUGCUUCUUGACAGCAAUAGUCUUUCUGGGUCGGUACCUGAGUUGGGUUCUUUGCAAAACCUCGGCCAAUUUAAUGUGUCAAAUAAUUUGUUGAACGGCUCAAUCCCCAAGGGGUUACAGAAAUAUGGGUCCGAUGCUUUUCUGGGGAAUUUGCUUUGUGGGAAACCACUUGACAAGGCUUGCCCUGCCACUGCUACUGCUGCUCCUGG
rnacentral:lncRNA from 1 species